GAUCUUGGGUGUGCUGUUUUGAUGAGAUUUUAAUGACUAGUUAUUACCAGGGAUACUAAUUCCAAAAUCUUCCUUGUAUGUCUAAUAUAGGAUUCUUAGUUCGACAAAUAUCAAGUUUGUAGUGCUUUCAGUCAAUGUAAGGGCUAGCUAAAGGUGGAAAAUUGGAAAUAAAGAAGGCAUGUCUUUCUAGAGGCUUGUGCUCGGAACAAAGGCGCACGCCUAGGCGC
rnacentral:misc_RNA from 1 species